rnacentral:misc_RNA from 1 species
GAUGAAGAACGUAGCGAAAUGCGAUAAGUAAUGUGAAUUGCAGAAUUCAGUGAAUCAUCGAAUCUUUGAACGCACAUUGCGCCCCCUGGUAUUCCGGGGGGCAUGCCUGUUCGAGCGUCAUUACAACCCUCAAGCUCUGCUUGGUGUUGGGCCCCGCCGCCCCGGCGGGCCCUAAAAUCAGUGGCGGUGCCGUCCGGCUCCGAGCGUAGUAAUCCUUCUCGCUCUGGAGGUCCGGGUGUGUGCUCGCCAGCAACCCCCAAUUUUUUUCAGGUUGACCUCGGAUCAGGUAGGGAUACCCGCUGAACUUAAGCAUAUCAAUAAGCGGAGGA